rnacentral:rRNA from 1 species
CAAUAGCGUAUAUUGAAGUUGCUGCAGUUAAAAAGCUCGUAGUUGGAUUUCGGGUGGGAAUGGCCGGUCCGCCGUUUCGGUGUGCACUUGCUACGCCCACCUUGCUGCCGGGGACGUGCUCUUGAGUUCACGCUCGGGACACGGAGUCGGCGAGGUUACUUUGAGUAAAUUAGAGUGUUCAAAGCAGGCCUACGCUCUGAAUACAUUAGCAUGGAAUAACACGAUAGGACUCUGGCCUAUCUUGUUGGUCUGUAGGACCGGAGUAAUGAUUAAGAGGGACAGUCGGGGGCAUUCGUAUUUCAUUGUCAGAGGUGAAAUUCUUGGAUUUAUGAAAGACGAACUACUGCGAAAGCAUUUGCCAAGGAUGUUUUCAUUGA